AGUGAACGUUGGCGGCGUGGAUUAGGCAUGCAAGUCGAGCGAGAACUGUAGCAAUACGGGGACAGUGGCGAACGGGUGAGUAACGCGUAGACAACCUACCUCUUAGAUGGGGACAACAUCGCGAAAGCGGUGCUAAUACCGAAUGAAGUGACUUUCCUGCAUGGGAGAGAUACUAAAGGUGGCCUCUAUUUAUAAGCUACCACUGAGAGAUGGGUCUGCGUCUGAUUAGCUAGUUGGCGGGGUAAUGGCCCACCAAGGCAACGAUCAGUAGCCGGGCUGAGAGGAUGAAAGGCCACAUUGGGACUGAGGCACGGCCCAAACUCCUACGGGAGGCAGCAGUGGGGAAUCUUCCGCAAUGGACGAAAGUCUGACGGAGCAACGCCGCGUGAGUGAAGAAGGUUUUCGGAUCGUAAAGCUCUGUUGUUUGAGACGAAUGUGUAUAUUAGUAAUACGGAUAUACAAUGACGGUAUUAAACGAGAAAGCCACGGCUAACUACGUGCCAGCAGCCGCCGUAA
rnacentral:rRNA from 1 species